rnacentral:rRNA from 1 species
GACGAACGCUGGCGGCGUGCUUAACACAUGCAAGUCGAACGGAAAGGCCCUGCUUUUGUGGGGUGCUCGAGUGGCGAACGGGUGCGUAACACGUGAGUAACCUGCCCUUGACUUUGGGAUAACUUCAGGAAACUGGGGCUAAUACCGGAUAGGAGCUCCUGCUGCAUGGUGGGGGUUGGAAAGUUUCGGCGGUUGGGGAUGGACUCGCGGCUUAUCAGCUUGUUGGUGGGGUAGUGGCUUACCAAGGCGUUGACGGGUAGCCGGCCUGAGAGGGUGACCGGCCACAUUGGGACUGAGAUACGGCCCAGACUCCUACGGGAGGCAGCAGUGGGGAAUAUUGCACAAUGGGCGGAAGCCUGAUGCAGCAACGCCGCGUGCGGGAUGACGGCCUUCGGGUUGUAAACCGCUUUCGCCUGUGACGAAGCGUGAGUGACGGUAAUGGGUAAAGAAGCACCGGCUAACUACGUG